CCCGGGUUAACCCCGAUAGUCUCUUACAAGUACUCAGCAUAACCUGUUAGCAACAUAAAAUAAGGGUUGCGCUCGUUUUAGGACUUAACCCAACAUCUCACGACACGAGCUGACGACAACCAUGCACCACCUGUGAACGGCCCCUAAGGACACCACGUUUCCGUAGCUUUUCCGAACAUGUCAAACCUUGGUAAGGUUUUUCGCGUUACAUCGAAUUAAGCCACAUGCUCCGCCGCUUGUGCAGACUCCCGUCAAUUCCUUUGAGUUUUAACCUUGCGGUCGUACUCCCCAGGCGGGGUGCUUAACGCGUUAGCUACAACACAGAGCCUUAUAUUAGCCCCAUAUUUAGCACCCAUCGUUUACAGCAUGGACUAC
rnacentral:misc_RNA from 1 species